rnacentral:lncRNA from 1 species
CUUCCUCGCUCUGCUUCUCCACCCGCCGUGGGAGCCGUUUUCCUCAGCCCAGCUCUGUUGAUGCUCAUUCUGGGCCCGGUCCCAAAGUAAGCUGCUCACAACGGUGGACUAGACCGGUACUCGUCAAUGCCAUACUUGGACCCCUCGCGCCCAAGGCCGGACUGUUUCACCCCACCAAAAGGACAUUCCACUGAAGAGAUGAGCCCUUCAUUCACACCGACCAUGCCGACCUCCAGCUGCUCCGCCACUCUCCAGAUCUGGGCCGGGUCUUGAGAGUAAAAGUAACCUAGCAGGGGAACAAAGGCAGGCAGACGGUUUGAGGAAUUCUCCUGAAAGUCACACGCGCCAGCCUCUGAGGGUGCCUGCCUGGUCACAGAGGCCCCGGGGUUCUCCUGCUUGCAGGUAAAGAAAGGCCCAGGUUGGUUUUGUCCACAUUUUCAUCCUAACAUCACGUUAAGCGUCUGUUUCUCUCUUGUUGGGGUCCUCCCCAGUCCCACUGGGCCUUUGUAAGCAUGCGCGUCUGUGCUCUCCUCCUGCUCGUCAGCCCCUCCUCCUUCAGAGGGCAGGAUGCUUCUUUAAGCCUUGCGGUCGAUCCUAGUUGUCUAUAAAACAAGCCCACAUUGCUCAGUCCUGCCUCAGAGUGUGGCUGGGUCAGCAUUUUCAGCUUACUCCUGACUGUAAUUCAGAACUUAAGAUUAAUGCUCAAAAGGCGGAGGCUGGCCUUGACUUGCAUCAUGACAACGGUGGCCGCCAGUCAGAAAACCUACCUGCCAAUCCAACCUCAGCUGCAUUUGCGAUGGCGACGGCCUCUUCCUCCUUAUCAAACCUGCCGGAGUUAAAGCAGGUCAUGAGCAAAAUCUGUGAGCUGAGGAAUAGAGAAAACCAGCUUUAUGUUCUCCCGAUUCACUUCCUAAAUACUGACAAGGAGAAGGUCAGAGUUGCAAAGCGAUCGAAGGGGAGGAGAAAUGAGUGGAGUAGAAGUGCAGACAUGGUAACUCAGCCUUCUCCAAGACCUGGUAAAGCAACGUGGCCCACCUUCUCUGAGAGAGGGAAAAGCGGACCAACCGAGGAGAGACAUCGUCAAACAAAAUCCUUUAAGGAAAGGACUGCUAGGUGCAGUGCUGGCUCAUUAGUUAACAGCACUUGUUGCUCUUGCAGAGGACCUGGGUUUGACUCCCAGCACCCACAUGGUGGCUCACAACUCUUAACUCCAGUCCCAGCAGAUCUGACAUCUUCUUCUGAGCCCUUCCAGGUCCUGGAUCUAAGUAGAAAACGGAAUAUUUUCAGACCACUGAUCUGCGAAUUAUCCAGGCAAAUGAUUAUUUAUUAAGGUGGGAUAAAAGAUUAUACAAGGUUAUAGUUCAUUUCCUAUAGACUGAGAGGAUAGAGGCCUUGAGGGUAUUAGAAAAAUACUCUUAGAAAUCAGUGGGGGAAAGUAAGUUUAGAGGCAUUAAGAAAUCUAAAUGAGGGAUUUUGAUGAAUUUUGUGCUUAAAAUUGGGUAUGGUGUAUGCCUAUAGGGGAGGCUAAAGCAAGAAAGUUGAGAGUUUAAGGCCAGCCUGGGUUACAGAAGGCCUUGUUUCAAACAGACAAACACCCAAAACUAAAACCAACAAUAACCACCUUCCACACCACUCAACACAGACAAAACACAAACACCAAAAACUGGGGCUAGGACUAGGGAGACCUGGCUCUGUUGGUAAAUGCUGAGUUCGAUCCCCCAGAACCCGUAUGAAAACUCAGUCGUGGUGGCCUGUGCUUGGGAUCCCAGGUCUAACCAACCUACUCUACCUGGAGAGUCCUGGGUUGCAGUGAGAGACCCUGUCUCCAAGUUUAAGGUGGACAGCUCCCAAGAAGUAACACCCAGGGCUGACCGAUAUGUGCACCUGAAUACACAAACUCCAAAAUCAAACCCCAACUAUCAUAAAGCCGACUCUGCUGCUUGACUCUGACUGUUCAACUCUGUUUGACUCUGCUAUGCAGCUGACUGCAUCUGCUCAGCCUUCCUAUCCAGCCUUGGAAACAGCUUAGGAAUCUCUCUCUCUCUCUCUCUCUCUCUCUCUCUCUCUCUCUCUCUCUCUCUCUCUCUCUCUCUUUCUCUCUCUCUCUCCUUCUCUCCCUCUCUCUCUCUCUCUCUCCCUCUCUCCCUCUCCCUCUCUCUCUCUCUUUCUCUCUCUCUCUCUCCCUCUCUCUCCCUCUCUCUCUCUCUUAGACUAGCUUUUCCUUCUCUAGCGUCUCCUUCCUUCCACUACUGGAGGAACGUACUUGAUGACUGGUGCCAGAGGUCCAAAGGUCUCCUCAGUGAUGCAGAGCAUGUCCCUGGUGACAUUGCUGAGCAGGGUGGGCUCAAAGAAAUUUCCUCCACUUUGGUGUCGCUUUCCGCCCGUCACAACCGUGGCCCCUUUGGCAACUGCGUCAUUCACCUGCUUCUCUACCUGAGAGAUGAGAAGAAGGGCACCAGGGAAAGCUGGAUAGGGACAUUUUCCAAACUGUACAAUCCCUUAAAAUGUUAAACAGCAAAAAACCAGUCAAGACUCGAUUCCUGGGAAUCACAUGGUGGAAGGAGAGAACGGACUCUGGAUAGCCCAUCGCUUUUCUGAGCUUUGCAUUUACGGAUGCUGGGCUGGUUGUACUCUUAGACCACUUGUCUACUUCUGUCUGGGUUGAAGAGAUGUUUGGAUACAUCUCAAAUAUAAUGGCAUUGCUUACCCAUGACAGAUGUUCGGUCUCAGAAAUGUGUUCUUAGCUAAUUUCACUAUUGAAUAAACAUCAUACAAUAUUUUGAUAUAAACCC